CACUUCAUCAACGUAUUCACACACAUGGCCGAAAUUGUUCUCCUCUGUCGCGCCGAAAUUCGUCAUCGGUGGCGGCGGAGCCUUAAAAUAGUCAAACUAUACCCCAUUCUCUUUGCGCCACAACCCUUUAUCUGAAACCUUACUCUAUUUCGUCCAAUUUCAACCCAAUCAAACCAAAUUAUCCACCACAGUCAAGAACCUUAAUCCAUAAUUACGUAAAUUAAAUGUAAGGGAGAUGAAAUUGAAGCCGACACCCUUAGCGCUUCAAUUCCCUAAGCUAAGGGUUACAUCUCGGUAACAAGUUGAAGACGAAAUGAAGGAGAAGUGCAAAGGAGCUUACCGGUCGGAGCAGUUUCGGCGACUCUUCAAGGUAAGUUCUUCAAGCUUUAUUCACUCAUUCUUCUUCGUCUUCCUCGCUUCUGUCUUCUUCUUUUUCUUCUUGCUUUUCUGGUUCCUCCUCCUCUUCUCUUCUUCUAUGCUUGAUGUGUGAGAGAUGAGAGAAUGAGAUUUUGAUAGGCGAAGGAGAAUCAAAGUGAGUGAAAAUGCAUAAUGAGGACGAAUCUACAAAAUUCUGAGAAAAAUGAGUGAAGAAUCGUCCUCUCUAAACGUGAAUGGAAACCAGAUUAUAUAGAGUUUCAACUUUAACAGAGAUUAACUCUGUUAAAGCUCUCUCAGUUCAAGUUAGUUAGAGGUUGGAUCUCUGUUAAAAAUCUAUCAAGGUUAGUUAGAAAUGUUAGUUAUGAUAUCAAUUUAUUAAUUGUUGAUUUGAAGUUAGUUAGUAGUUAGUGAUCCAAGGUGUGACUGGUUGAUGCAGGUUACAGGUUAACAUGAAUUAUGUGAAGUGGCUAUGGAUUAUACAUGGUGAUGACAUGCUAAACAGGUAUGAUUUCGAGUUGCAAGUUUUGAGUUAUUUUAGCAAACUGCAUGAUGACUUAUUGAUGCGGGUUGCAGGGUAAUGGUCUACUGAUGGGUGAGCAAGGUGGUUGCAUUCCUACUGCAGGUGUGAGUGAUGUUACGUGUGAAUCUGAUUUUUUAGUUCUGUUAUAGUUAAUUGGUUUUGUUAAAUGAUGUUAGUGAUAGUUGGUUGAAAUCUGUUAGGAGAAAAUCGUUAGCUUGAGUUUGAGUUAGCUGGUUUUUAAUUAGUUAAUUUCUUUGUAGCUUCAGUUGAGUUCGGUUGUUAGCUUGAAACUAAGUUUUGAAUUUAGGUAUGUUAGAUUUCAGUUGUUAAUCCUCUGUUAGUUAAUUAGUGUUGAAUCAACUAGAAGCUUAUUAGUUACAUUUAAUUUGUGAAGUCUAAUGGUGAUAUAAUGUGUUAGUUAACAGGCUGUUAUCAGUUAGGAAAACAUACAAGCUGUCAUAUGGUUUACUCAUGCCCUGUAUUGACUGUUAUGCCUUGGUCUAAAUAUUAGGACUAGUUUGCCUAUUUUUAGUGUUUGCUUGUUAUGAUGGUUGCUUAAUGAUGUUAAUGACUUGCUUUGAUAUGCUUGCAGACCCAUAAUGAGCUCAUGGUGGCAUAGCCAAAGGAAGCACAUGGAGGCCUUUGAGGAUGCAAGGAUGGGCUGCCAUAUUAAAAGCUCUUUUUUCCUUUCUUCCUUUUGAUUCAAACCAUGUUAUGAAAUAGAAUUGGGGCUUACUCUUUGUAUGGAUAUGAUCAUGUAAAGAUACACUUUGUAAUCAAACUUCAAUUAUCACUUCAAAUUAUGGAUGCCAUUUACACGGAUGCAAGCUAGUAAAUGAAUGAAAGUUAUGAGGUUUGGUUCUUUCUAGAAAAAGUCAAUUGUCGACCAAAGUCAACUUUGGUCGAAGUUAUAUUUUUUGUAAUUUUAUUUGUGAUGCAAUUAAUGAACAAAAACGGUUCUUUUAU
rnacentral:lncRNA from 1 species